GAGGGUGUAGCUCAGUUGGUUAGAGCGCCAGAUUGUGGUUCUGGAGGUCGUGGGUUCGAAACCCAUCAUCCUCCCUA
rnacentral:tRNA from 1 species